rnacentral:tRNA from 1 species
UUAAUGCUUUCUUUUCCUUACAGUGACAAUCUGAGAGUAGAAAAGUAUCGGGCUUCAUCCGACAAUCCUCUCAGCCUUCAUCAUCAUCCGUAACUUUUCAUUAUGAAAACCUGUCUCUUUUUGGCAAACCACUCACCCUCUUCAAUUCUUGGUUUACACCUCGGUUGCACUAGCGUCUCGGAUUGGUUGCCAAUUCAGACGGCGAUAUGAUUGGUUGUCGCAACUAGAAAUGAAGUUGUAACAAAGUCUUAGAAAUGUGUUGAAAUACCAUAUAUGGCCUGCUGAAGACAGAGCCCGGAUAGCUCAGUCGGUAGAGCAUCAGACUUUUAAUCUGAGGGUCCAGGGUUCAAGUCCCUGUUCGGGCGAUGCUUUUUUUUUUCACCUUGAAGACGACGCCUAAAUUGCGAUCUUGUAUUUACACUAAUUCGUUGUAUUCAGAAGGUCCGUUUCUUGUAUUUAUCAGUUUUAAAGACCGCCAAGCCGUAAUUAUGCUAUUGUCAAUAAUAAAUACAGAACAAGAGUCUACUUUGACUGGAUUUGAUUGGAAUAUCAUUUUCAAGGCUGUCUGGUGAACGUUUCGAGAUGUGGGACUAAUUUAUGCAUUUCCCAAACGUGCUGCUUUGGAGCACGGCUAUUUUUUUUUAUCCUCAGAAAACGUACUCUCAGGUAAAAAAAAAUCAAUGGCUGCCCAAUUUCUGGAAGAUCGUAAAUCUACCAUCUCUGAUUUGCACCAGACUGCUGCUCACGGACAGAAGAGAUGGACUUCAACCAUCAAUAGCCCGGUGGAGGAUUGUUAUCCAUGGUGCUGUGGAUGGUUACAGCAGACUUGUUGGGUUUCUGAAGGCCUCUGACAACAACAGGAGUGCCACAGUCAUGGAUGUCAUUCGAAGCAGCCAUCACCAGCUACGGAGUACCAUCCCGGGUGAGAUGUGACCCGGGUGGUGAAAACAACCGUAUCUGUGCCUUCAUGGAGCAAUUCAGGGGUGGUGAGAGGGGAAGUGCCCUCAGAGGAAGGAGCACACAACCAGAGGAUAGAGUGGGCUGUAGGGGGACGUCUGGCAUGGAGUCUCCAACGUUUACCAUGACCUGUUCACCUUCUUGGAGACGGAGCAGAUCAUCGACAUCAACAAUGGGGUGGACCUGUGGGCACUGCACUUUGUGUUCCAGCCACGGAUGAACAGAGAUCUUGCUGUGUUUGCCAGUCAGGGGACCCACCAUGGGCUGAGGACUGAACAACGGCAGUCACCUCUGCAGUUG